GCUUGAUUGGAUUGGAUGACACAGUUAUUUAGUAAUAAAUCAUGCCAUGAAAGUUUUAUAAUAAAGAUUGAUCAGUCUUCACAGAAAUAACCUAAACAUAUGCAUUCAGAGAUUCGAUGCGCAAAUUACACAAGUAGAAAAGAAAGCUCCACCUGUUAAAAGAUUCAUGCAAGCAGCGACUCAUUUUCUUUGCGAGUCCCUUCUCCUGUCACCAAGCAUCAUGUACCCAUAGACAAUCAAAGAAACAAUAGUUUGCACAUGCCUCUGUAACUAUGGUCAGCUGUGGUCCUCAAAUUGCAUUUCCAGAUGCCUUUACGGUUACCAUUCCUUUCUGUUUUGUUUCUUUCUAUUGCUUUUCCCUCUUCUUUCAUUUCCUUCAAAGCUUGACAUGACUUUCAUUUCCUGGAAGAUUUUCUUCAACCCAUUCUUCCGCUUUUAACUCUGAAUCUUUCUCAUCUUCUAAACUUCGUGAUCUCCUGUGGAAGGUCUCCUGGAUCUUUGUCACACCCUUCUCAACAGGUCCUAUUGCUUGAUUUAUUGUCAAUACAACAUCCUUGACAACCUGUUUCCAGGUUUCUUUGACCGCCUUUAAGAACAAUGUCCUGAAUGCUCUCAGUGACGCUUGUUCCAGAAGACACCCAAGUUUCUUUCUUUUCAAGCAUGGCUCGAUUAUCCUCAUCAUCUUCCUUUAAAUUCAAUUCUGCUUUGGUUGUUUUAGUGGUGACCCUUCCUUGAUCAGAAGCAGGAAUAAAAUGAUAGGGUUCUGCUGAAAAUACAAAUACAUGGGCAACAGCUGCAAUGGCCAUUUCUAUACAAAUAAAAAAAUCUUGCAACCCUGUCUGAAAUUUUCCCUCAUUAGGCAGAACUCCAAAAGCACAUAGUAGAGCAAUGCCCACACCUUGCCACCAGGUAGCAAACACAAUAGCCUUGAAGCUGAUGAAUUUUGCAAGUGGCCUUAUCGGUUUAAGCCUUUCAUGCAUUACGCUAUAGAACUGCACAAGACAAUAUAAUGCCCACAUUUGACUGAAGUUCAGUACUAUUGUUAUGUAUGGAUAUCAGGAAUGAGAAAAGAGCAUCAAUGAAGUGCACACCCAUAGUUCCACUUGAAUUCCCCAUCACCAUAAACACUGAAAAGCUCCAACAAGAAUGCCAAGAAUGCACAGAAAGUCUUGAGAAUCAUAUAUCGUACAAGACCAAAAUUUUCUAUUGUAAAGACAUCCCUUCCAAUAACAUAUGGCCGGCAGAAAAAGUUGAUAAAGGAUCUUUGACGUAGACCUGGAUUUUCAUCUGAUCCUUCUAGCAAAGGCUGGUUGAGCCAUUUUUGUUUUUCAUUUUCAAGAAGUUCUAUGACCCACUUUUCACCACCCAGACAAGCAACCAAAUAGCUCCCAAACGUAUACAAGGCAAAUGCUUCAUAGCAAUUUCUUAAUGUGUCACACACAAGAGACAGUUGAGGAUUCCACAAUGCAAUAAU
rnacentral:misc_RNA from 1 species